rnacentral:rRNA from 1 species
GACGAACCGUGCGAACGUUGUUCGGAAUGACUGGGCGUAAAGGGCGCGUAGGCGGAUGGCACAGUCAGAUGUGAAAUUCCCGGGCUUAACCUGGGGGCUGCAUUUGAUACGUGUUGUCUUGAGUUCGGAAGAGGGUCGUGGAAUUCCCAGUGUAGAGGUGAAAUUCGUAGAUAUUGGGAAGAACACCGGUGGCGAAGGCGGCGACCUGGUCCGACACUGACGCUGAGGCGCGAAAGCGUGGGGAGCAAACAGG